rnacentral:rRNA from 1 species
UAGUGGCGAACGGGUGAGUAACACGUGGGUAAUCUGCCCUGCACUCUGGGAUAAGCCUUGGAAACGAGGUCUAAUACCGGAUAUCACAACUCUUCGCAUGGGGGGUUGUUGAAAGUUCCGGCGGUGCAGGAUGAACCCGCGGCCUAUCAGCUUGUUGGUGGGGUAAUGGCCUACCAAGGCGACGACGGGUAGCCGGCCUGAGAGGGUGACCGGCCACACUGGGACUGAGACACGGCCCAGACUCCUACGGGAGGCAGCAGUGGGGAAUAUUGCACAAUGGGCGAAAGCCUGAUGCAGCGACGCCGCGUGAGGGAUGACGGCCUUCGGGUUGUAAACCUCUUUCGCCAGGGACGAAGCGCAAGUGACGGUACCUGGAUAAGAAGCACCGGCUAACUACGUGCCAGCAGCCGCGGUAAUACGUAGGGUGCGAGCGUUGUCCGGAUUUAUUGGGCGUAAAGAGCUCGUAGGCGGUUUGUCGCGUCGGCUGUGAAAUCUGGAGGCUUAACCUUCAGCGUGCAGUCGAUACGGGCAGACUUGAGUUCGGUAGGGGAGACUGGAAUUCCU